AUUCCGAGUUUAUUUUAGCGUCUAGCUGUUUGAAUGGUUUAACGGGGAAGGGGAGUCGAGAGAAAACGAUAACACCCCCAAGUUGGUUUCUAGGUCUUUCUUUGGGAUAGAACUAGAAGGAGGGGAGGAGCUGGUAUGAAGGGAAAGCAAAGAUUUGGAGCUGCGGGUUCUGGAAUGCAAUACCACGGGCCACUAGUCGGUUGAAGUACCCGCUCAGAGCCGGCAAGGUGUAGGGCGCCGAAGUUCAGCAGCCGCAGAGGAAUCACUCGCUUCCGGCGGGUAGGAAUGACUUGGGAGAGGGCGGGGGUUCGGACAGAGAACAUAGCUAAAGACUAGCCUGGGAAGAGCACGCGGAGUGUCCCCAAGGCAAGGAAGAAGUUGGCAGCAGCCGGGUAUCGGGCCAUGCCCUACCAUUGAAACAAAGGAGACGCCAAGCUUUGGGUCCUGGCGCGCGCAAGCGGGAAACGGUCCCAUCUUAGCUACGGGCAGAAAACUCGAAGGAAAAAAGAAUGUCAGCGGCCAGAAAGAACAUUGUACGCUUUGGUCGAUUUGCCACAGCAGCUCCGGGUUAAGGGGUGGAGGAGGAUAAGAGAACGUAGAUUGGGCAGGAAAGAGGCCAGCAGAACCAGAGAAGUCCCGGAGGCUUGCUAUCUGCCUUCCAUACACAGAGCGGGCAUCGCCGGCCCUGGCACUGGGAAGCAUAAUCAUUAUUAACGUCAUUAGCAUCAUUAAUCAUAUAUUCUUAUUAUAACUAAUAAUCACAAUAGUGACAGCUGGAGAGGCUGAUGGGGUCAAGACUGGGCCUGUGCUCUGCAAAAAGAAAUGGUGGUCCCUAUUUCCAUGGAAGGAGCUGCUCUUGGCCUAAAAACCUCGUUUGAAUAAGGAAACGCCUGGGUGAAGAAGGGGUGUUCGACUGGGGCCUAGGAAACUGGAGCCGGAAAGACUUACUCCCCAGAGGGGCCGGAACCCUCAGCCCCGUGGCAGCGGAGGGAGCUUAAAUGGAAGAGACUCAAGCCUCUAUUGUUAGCAAUAUUGGGUCGAUACCCCAAACGUGCCAAACCAUUCAUAAGGAUUUAUUCACCCGCUCUGAACCUUCCCUGAGUUUGGAAGAGACCGAAGCUGAGACGCUAAAAGCAAUAUCCCAGAUCUGAAGACUGGGGGUACCAGAGCUCCUGGCUUCACCUCUGACAGGAGUUACCCAAGAGGAACCAGGCAAAUCUAAAGUCUACACCUGAAUUGCACUCAACACUCCAACUCAGAGAUUCCUAGGGGGAAAAAGCGGAAGGUCUCCCACUCACCCCCAACCUGAGAUAUUUUCUCAUUUUCUCCCCUCUGCGGGAGCAGCCCCCAGGAGAGAGGCCCCAGCUCUUUUUAUAGGUGACGUAGGGCGCUACGUGGCCAGCUCGGGCCCCAGCCCCACGUUCAUAGGCUUCUACCCCUGAAGUGACACUUCGGCGCCCGCUCCCCCUUCCCCCGCCCCUGCCCUCGGGGGGACGCCGCCUUUUUCUAAUCGGGACGCAGCCCUGCCUCGCCACAAACUCCCGCGCCCACCGAAGAGAGAGUGCUCUGGAGACCCAGGGGCAGAGCACUUCCAAUCCCACCCUGAGACUGGCCAGGAAAAAGGAACAGUCCAGCUUGGCUCCUCUCAGGUCAACUUCCAGAGGAGCAGCCCAAGAGGUCGCCUUUCCCUACCAGCCAGCCCUCUCCCAACCCAACACGUCGGGAGGGCUCCGGAGGCGGCGGCCAGGGGGCCUGCGGGAUCGAGGCCCGUUUCUCUCUUUGGUUAUCUAGCUGUAUGAGUGUUAUUGAGCUAUCAUAAAGCUAGAUAACCGAAAGUAGAAAUGACUUUCACAACUUCUCCGAGCUGGGAGAGCCCCCCCUCCCAACCAACCACCACCGUCUUCACGUCCCCACAAUCCCCGCCCUGUCCUAGGCGGAGAGGAGGCGGCGGUUGCAACGGAGCCUAAGGACCCAGGAAUCCGACUUACCAAGUAGAGGCCCUGGGGCGGCCCCUACCCAAAACCAGAAGCUGGAAAACAUUCCUGAAUGGCACGAUUUGGGAGAAUGAAGGGGAUCCUGUGCAAAUAAGAAAGUGGCUCAACGGCUUUCACCCAAAAAGCUGUUGCUACCAAGAUGCACUUGAGAAAAGAACCCACCUUCAGGGCCAACAGUGUAGACCACUUGGGUUGUUGAACGCGAUUUGGAAAGAUUUGCUGUAUAGUCAGAGCAUGCUUCUGACGGAUGCACUCUUCCGGGUGUAGACCUUCUGCACAUUUUGAUCAUAAAUGACAUAGCUGAGAAGGUGCGGAACAGAACAUGGCUUGUACUCAGAGAAGAUGGACCCGGGAGAGAGCCCCCUUCGGGGAGAAAACCUCCCAGGUUAGAGGCCACAGAAGAAAGAAUGGUGGAGGGAAAAAGUCCUGUCUCCUUGUCACCCAGAAAAUACCCAAGAGGAGGAGAAAGGAGGAAGACCUCCGAGGGUUCUGCUGCCCUGCCCUACCCACCACACCGUAAUGCCACAGCGCGGCAGCUCCCAGGCUGCUCGGUGCCAGGAGGCCAUUUUGAUGGAAGCAAAGAGCCUUCUGCAAGAUAAGAUGGCUGCAUGGGCACGAGGAAUGCGAUACCUCAUAGGUACCCAUAGCUGCCCUUCUCUGAAGCCUUUCGACUGGUUACAGAAUUCCUGCACAAGGGCUCUACUCUAAAGGGGAAUCAAGAAGAAAAUCUCAGGAUAGAAUCUUGGGGCCCCUUGAAGUCUGAAGGAUGGUAAGAGAAAAGGAGACUCAGGUCCACUGAGUCAAAAGGCAGACUGACCCUAGGCCUGGCCCAGAAGCUGAGGAAACUGAGACUUCGGAGAUUCCCGAAGAUCACACAAGAGUCCAUCCAGGAAAAGAGUUGAUGUGGCACAACGACCACUGAACUAGGAGUAAAGAGACCCAAGUCCUUCCAAUUCUGUUACUACCCAAGUUUCUGAAGGAGCAAGUGGGACAAAGGACUGGCCUUUGCUGAAUGGCUGAUACUGGAAAGAAGAGGAGACCCUGAGGGCAAUCCCCAGUGGAGCUACACAAGUGCACUUUCUGCAGAUACCUAGCAUAUGGAAGUCACUGGAGAAUUUGGAAGAUGAGAAUAAGGAAGUGCUGAGAAGGGCCUGGGGGAGGCCCUCAAACAGAGGUCAAGUUUACAUAGAAAUGCCAGUGAAGUUUGGUUAAGAGCUGAGACCUCAGAUCUGGUUUGGGACAUUGGGGACCCUAUGUGGAAACUAUUCUCUUACAGUCUUUGAGACACUCCUAGACCUUGGAGUGAACUGUCCUACACAUACCCCUAGGUAGGGAAAAGGAGACAGGCAGAAUACCUCUAUUGCCACUUUAGUUUUGCUUCUUCCAAGACCUCUUUCCAUUCCCUCCCAUCUUCCUUCAAUUACAUCCUCUGGUUUAAAUAAACAUUUAUUUGCCAAAUAAAUGCUCCUGGUGUUUCUGGUCAACUCUACCAAAAAGGGAUAGAUA